CCGCUGAAUUUAAGCAUAUCAAUAAGCGGAGGAAAAGAAACCAACAGGGAUUCCCUUAGUAACGGCGAGCGAAACGGGACAAGCCCAGUAUGUAAAUCUCCAGCUUUUAGCUGGCGAAUUGUAGUCUGGAGUAGCGACUCUUGGAAACUGGCCAGCCCAAGCAUCUUGGAAUAGAUCGCCGUAGAGGGUGAGAGCCCCGUAGGCUGGCAAAGGCUCCUUCACAGAGCGCUCACAUAGAGUCGGGUUGUUUGGGAAUGCAGCCCCAAUUUGGUGGUAAACCCCAUCUAAGGCUAAAUACCUGUGGGAGACCGAUAGCAAAAAAGUACCUCGAGGGAACGAUGAAAAGACCGCUGG
rnacentral:rRNA from 1 species